AUACGGAGGGUGCAAGCGUUAAUCGGAAUUACUGGGCGUAAAGCGCGCGUAGGCGGUUUGGUAAGUCGGAUGUGAAAGCCCCGGGCUCAACCUGGGAAUUGCAUUCGAUACUGUCAGGCUAGAGUAUGGUAGAGGGAAGCGGAAUUCCAGGUGUAGCGGUGAAAUGCGUAGAUAUCUGGAGGAACAUCAGUGGCGAAGGCGGCUUCCUGGAUCAAUACUGACGCUGAGGUGCGAAAGCGUGGGGAGCAAACAGGAUUAGAUACCCCGGUAGUCC
rnacentral:rRNA from 1 species